UGGGGAGUAGCCAACCGGUGCGGUGCACCGGUCCGCGCGUCAACACACUUGGUCGAGAGGCCAUGGUGCGCGGGUUUCCGGACCUUUUUCGAGGCCCGGCUUCCGGCAAGACCGAUGACACCUGAUCCCAUUGUCCGGCCGGGCAGGGGGAAAGGUGUUGUUGCGUUUUUGCUUGAAACCCU
rnacentral:sRNA from 2 species